GGGUUGUGAGGUUAAGCGACUAAGCGUACACGGUGGAUGCCCUGGCAGUCAGAGGCGAUGAAGGGCGUGCUAAUCUGCGAUAAGCGCCGGUAAGGUGAUAUGAACCGUUAUAACCGGCGAUACCCGAAUGGGGAAACCCAGUGUGACUCGUCACACUAUCAUUAACUGAAUCCAUAGGUUAAUGAGGCGAACCGGGGGAACUGAAACAUCUAAGUACCCCGAGGAAAAGAAAUCAACCGAGAUUCCCCCAGUAGCGGCGAGCGAACGGGGAGGAGCCCAGAGCCUGAAUCAGCAUGUGUGUUAGUGGAAGCGUCUGGAAAGGCGCGCGAUACAGGGUGACAGCCCCGUACACAAAAGCGCAUGUGCUGUGAGCUCGAUGAGUAGGGCGGGACACGUGGUAUCCUGUCUGAAUAUGGGGGGACCAUCCUCCAAGGCUAAAUACUCCUGACUGACCGAUAGUGAACCAGUACCGUGAGGGAAAGGCGAAAAGAACCCCGGCGAGGGGAGUGAAAAAGAACCUGAAACCGUGUACGUACAAGCAGUGGGAGCACAGGUUUACCUGUGUGACUGCGUACCUUUUGUAUAAUGGGUCAGCGACUUAUAUUCUGUAGCAAGGUUAACCGAAUAGGGGAGCCGUAGGGAAACCGAGUCUUAACCGGGCGUUAAGUUGCAGGGUAUAGACCCGAAACCCGGUGAUCUAGCCAUGGGCAGGUUGAAGGUUGGGUAACACUAACUGGAGGACCGAACCGACUAAUGUUGAAAAAUUAGCGGAUGACCUGUGGCUGGGGGUGAAAGGCCAAUCAAACCGGGAGAUAGCUGGUUCUCCCCGAAAGCUAUUUAGGUAGCGCCUCGUGAAUUCAUCUCCGGGGGUAGAGCACUGUUUCGGCUAGGGGGCCAUCCCGGCUUACCAACCCGAUGCAAACUGCGAAUACCGGAGAAUGUUAUCACGGGAGACACACGGCGGGUGCUAACGUCCGUCGUGAAGAGGGAAACAACCCAGACCGCCAGCUAAGGUCCCAAAGUCAUGGUUAAGUGGGAAACGAUGUGGGAAGGCCCAGACAGCCAGGAUGUUGGCUUAGAAGCAGCCAUCAUUUAAAGAAAGCGUAAUAGCUCACUGGUCGAGUCGGCCUGCGCGGAAGAUGUAACGGGGCUAAACCAUGCACCGAAGCUGCGGCAGCGACACUGUGUGUUGUUGGGUAGGGGAGCGUUCUGUAAGCCUGUGAAGGUGGCCUGUGAGGGUUGCUGGAGGUAUCAGAAGUGCGAAUGCUGACAUAAGUAACGAUAAAGCGGGUGAAAAGCCCGCUCGCCGGAAGACCAAGGGUUCCUGUCCAACGUUAAUCGGGGCAGGGUGAGUCGACCCCUAAGGCGAGGCCGAAAGGCGUAGUCGAUGGGAAACGGGUUAAUAUUCCCGUACUUGGUGUUACUGCGAAGGGGGGACGGAGAAGGCUAUGUUGGCCGGGCGACGGUUGUCCCGGUUUAAGCGUGUAGGUGUGUGUUCCAGGUAAAUCCGGUUCACUUUAACACUGAGGCGUGACGACGAGGCACUACGGUGCUGAAGCAACAAAUGCCCUGCUUCCAGGAAAAGCCUCUAAGCAUCAGGUAACAUCAAAUCGUACCCCAAACCGACACAGGUGGUCAGGUAGAGAAUACCAAGGCGCUUGAGAGAACUCGGGUGAAGGAACUAGGCAAAAUGGUGCCGUAACUUCGGGAGAAGGCACGCUGACACGUAGGUGAAGUGAUUUACUCAUGGAGCUGAAGUCAGUCGAAGAUACCAGCUGGCUGCAACUGUUUAUUAAAAACACAGCACUGUGCAAACACGAAAGUGGACGUAUACGGUGUGACGCCUGCCCGGUGCCGGAAGGUUAAUUGAUGGGGUCAGCGCAAGCGAAGCUCCUGAUCGAAGCCCCGGUAAACGGCGGCCGUAACUAUAACGGUCCUAAGGUAGCGAAAUUCCUUGUCGGGUAAGUUCCGACCUGCACGAAUGGCGUAAUGAUGGCCAGGCUGUCUCCACCCGAGACUCAGUGAAAUUGAACUCGCUGUGAAGAUGCAGUGUACCCGCGGCAAGACGGAAAGACCCCGUGAACCUUUACUAUAGCUUGACACUGAACAUUGAGCCUUGAUGUGUAGGAUAGGUGGGAGGCUUUGAAGUGUGGACGCCAGUCUGCAUGGAGCCGACCUUGAAAUACCACCCUUUAAUGUUUGAUGUUCUAACGUGGACCCGUAAUCCGGGUUGCGGACAGUGUCUGGUGGGUAGUUUGACUGGGGCGGUCUCCUCCUAAAGAGUAACGGAGGAGCACGAAGGUUGGCUAAUCCUGGUCGGACAUCAGGAGGUUAGUGCAAUGGCAUAAGCCAGCUUGACUGCGAGCGUGACGGCGCGAGCAGGUGCGAAAGCAGGUCAUAGUGAUCCGGUGGUUCUGAAUGGAAGGGCCAUCGCUCAACGGAUAAAAGGUACUCCGGGGAUAACAGGCUGAUACCGCCCAAGAGUUCAUAUCGACGGCGGUGUUUGGCACCUCGAUGUCGGCUCAUCACAUCCUGGGGCUGAAGUAGGUCCCAAGGGUAUGGCUGUUCGCCAUUUAAAGUGGUACGCGAGCUGGGUUUAGAACGUCGUGAGACAGUUCGGUCCCUAUCUGCCGUGGGCGCUGGAGAACUGAGGGGGGCUGCUCCUAGUACGAGAGGACCGGAGUGGACGCAUCACUGGUGUUCGGGUUGUCAUGCCAAUGGCACUGCCCGGUAGCUAAAUGCGGAAGAGAUAAGUGCUGAAAGCAUCUAAGCACGAAACUUGCCCCGAGAUGAGUUCUCCCUGAGACUUAGAGUCUCCUGAAGGAACGUUGAAGACGACGACGUUGAUAGGCCGGGUGUGUAAGCGCAGCGAUGCGUUGAGCUAACCGGUACUAAUGAACCGUGAGGCUUAACCUUACAACGCCGAAG
rnacentral:rRNA from 1 species